rnacentral:sRNA from 1 species
AUUUUGCCCAAGCGGGGAAGGAUGAGAAGCUUCGACCAAGGUUCGACUUGAGCGCCAGCGAGAGAGCGUUGCCGCAGGCAACGACCCGAAGGGCGAAGCGCGCAGCGCUGAGUAAUCCUUCCCCCACCACCA